rnacentral:tRNA from 1 species
GGGCGCGUAGCUCAGUGGACAGAGUCCUUGGUUCCGGACCAAGAUGUCGGGGGUGAGCGUGAGCGGAGCGAACGCGAACUACGGAAGCCGCAGCCCGCACGACCGUCUUCCGGCAGUUCGAAUCCCUCCGCGCCCG